CGGGGUUUAAUGCUUCUUAUACUCGUUUCUGACUCGCACGUACAUAGUAGCUCAUCAGCCCUCAUCGAAGGUCAUUUGCACAUUCUCUCUAAGAUCAAGACUACAAGAGACGUUUAGUUGCCUUUGUGAUUUUACUCAAAUUGAAACAUCCCACAAUGUACCAUCUGAGGGUCGAGGAAACAAAUUCAUCAAUUUUCUAUGAAGAACAUUACUCCUAGAACCAGAAAAAUAAAGUUGACAACAUGUGAAGCAUCAAGCGUGGAAGGAAUUGAGAUAACAAAAUUCAUGGAUUACUUAGUGCUAUUUUUAUGGUAAAAUUUUUAUGAGAAAGAACAUUUUGACUUCUCUUAUAAAUAUUUGGAAUAUGUUUGACACCAACUUUUGGAAUAUGUUUUGUAUUGAAUUUACAACUGAAAUUAUGAA